rnacentral:rRNA from 1 species
GACGAACGCUGGCGGCGUGCUUAACACAUGCAAGUCGAACGGAAAGGCCCUGCUUUUGUGGGGUGCUCGAGUGGCGAACGGGUGAGUAACACGUGAGUAACCUGCCCUUGACUUUGGGAUAACUUCAGGAAACUGGGGCUAAUACCGGAUAGGAGCUCCUGCUGCAUGGUGGGGGUUGGAAAGUUUCGGCGGUUGGGGAUGGACUCGCGGCUUAUCAGCUAGUUGGUGGGGUAGUGGCUUACCAAGGCUUUGACGGGUAGCCGGCCUGAGAGGGUGACCGGCCACAUUGGGACUGAGAUACGGCCCAGACUCCUACGGGAGGCAGCAGUGGGGAAUAUUGCACAAUGGGCGGAAGCCUGAGGCAGCAACGCCGCGUGCGGGAUGACGGCCUUCGGGUUGUAAACCGCUUUCGCCUGUGACGAAGCGUGAGUGACGGUAAUGGGUAAAGAAGCACCGGCUAACUACGUG